rnacentral:lncRNA from 1 species
CGCAUCUGGAAGGCAGCUAGGCUGCCUGACAGAUGAGAGGCUGCAGGAAGGUCCGGGGGAGGUGACUGCGUCGACAAAGCCUGGGGGGCUGGCGUGUGCGGGCCAGAUGUUUGGCGGUGGCCCGGAGCCCUCCCCCAGACAGGGAGGCCAGUGGGGCCUCAACCCAGGGGCCUGGGGGAGCCUUGGGCCCGAUGGACCGGCCCUGGGACCAGCACAUUCUCUUCCUCUGCUUGGUCUGCAGGCCUUUGGAAGCAGAAGAGAAUGUCAGCGUCUCCUUAGUCGUUUUGAGGACAGGGAUUAAGAAACUGGGUACCCGAGGUAGGGGUUUUGACCCCUGGGCUUUGUCCCAAGAGGUAGCAGAGGAGUCACACGGAGCAGUGGGUGCAGCACAGGGGGUCCCACCCAGGGAGCAGGAAUCCCAGCCCUGCAGUCGGCAGAGGUGCUAGAAGGUCGUAAAAGUGCUUUGCGGGAUGGGGGUGAGCCGAGCAAACGCACUCCUCUAGACCAGGUGGUCUUCUAGCUUUAGCUGAGUCACCAUCCCUAGAAGCUUCUUGGACACCCCGCCCUCCGGGAGUGGCGGGCACAGGCUCAGAGCCGGCACCUUAUCAGCACCAGGACCAGCCAGGAGCAUCGCAGCCAAAGGCCGUCUCCAUCCGAGUGUUGCUUGUUUUUGAGCCCGGAGUCUCUUCCUUGGGGACAGACCCCUCUCAGCCCUCGACACCUGCUGUGUGUUUCGCACUUACAGCCUUUCAGGCUGGACCGGCCGCAUUUUGACGGCCCAGCGGCCGUCUGCCUGAGAUGUGGUACAGAUACACAAUGGAAUAUUACUCAGCCAUAAAAAGAAUGAAAUAAUGCCAUUUGCAGCAACAUGGAUGCAGCUAGAGAGUCUCAUACUAAACGAAAUUAAGUUGGAAAAGAGAAAGACAAAUACCUUACAAGAUCACUUAUAUGUGGAAUCUAAAAUAUGGCACAAAUGAACCUGUCUACAGCACAGAAACAAACUCGUGGUUGCCAAGGAGGAGGGGGAGGGAGUGGGGUGGACGGGAGUCUGGGGUGGCGGAUGCCAGCUGGUACAUUCAGAAGGGAUCAGCAGUGAGGUCUUGCUCGUUGCUGCUUUUCCGAAGCAGGGAAGAUGCACAAGUCCUGGGAACUGUCCCAGGGUUCCCGUCUCGGGACAGGUCACUGCAUGGAUGCCUGAGCUGGAAACGGGCCCACAGCCCAGAUUCCUGGACCUCCUUCUUCUGAGUGACUCCCUCUCCGAUCUCAGCGGUCCUACCCCCCGAUGACCUCAUGGAUCCUGCAUGACCCCACGCAAGCCUCCGGGCCCUCCAGGCCCUGCUGGGGACUGGGCUUCCCGCCGCGCCCUCGACCCCACCCCUGCCAUUCCCUUUGCACUCAGGGAGCAGAGACGUCCUUCCAAAAAGGGAACCAUUCCUCUGCUGGAACCUUCUGGUAGCUCCCUGUGGUCUUCCGGUUAAGUCCCAACUCUGGGUGGCCUCGUUCCCCCACCACCUGUGACCACUCCACACCUCAGGCAGCAAAGGCCACUCAGGCCAUCAGUCAAGAGCCAUGUCCACGUCUGUCCAGAGACACACCCUCCACGGCCGCAGCCACAGUGACCGGGCGGCCAGAUUCACUCAGGGCAGAAAGCACUCCGCAGCAAAGGGCCGGCGGCCCCUUGGGGUUCUGGUUAAAGGCAGGUUGGAUCCAGGCUCACAAAAUCCAUCAACAGCACAGAAGAGCGCUCGCUCGGAAGACAGGAAGGCAGAUGACUGUGAGGAUAAAGAGAGAGAGAGAGGCGUCAGUUGCAGCCACACUUUGGAAGACGCAGCCACGGGCGCAGAGUAAUUGACUUGACAGAUGUAGGAAGCUCGUUGCUAAAUCUGAGCGAGAAAGGGGAAGCCCAGGGUGCACCCCAGAACCCCCAAAGCCUGGCGAAGGGCAGCCCCAUGUGCCGUUGGACGUGGGGGUCAAAGACCGUCCUUGGAAAGCUGUUUAAGAAGAGGUCAAACUCUUCCCCGCCGCCCCCCAUUUCCUCCUCUGCUCUGCACAGCAGGCGACUGCCUGGCCCACGGGCGGAGAGAAAACCAGACAUUUUUCCCUCGGGAGAUGUUUAAGCUGCAGGUCCCUGGACCCAAGGGCACUGAACACAACAAGCGAAAGCUCAAAUGGCCAUUUUGGAGCGCUUCCCGCAGGCGGUGAGCUGAGUCCCGCAGGAGGGGCUGGCCCUGGACGGAUGAGGAGGGAGGCGGGAGGGAUGAGUCCUGGCAGAGCAGGGGCCAGAGGGCCGGUGGUGAAGGAGGUGGGCUCGGCGGUGGCAGGGAGCGGGGGAUGGUCUGGGGCAGGCAGGAAGGAGGAGGCUCGAAGUGGGCUCUGCCACCACCCUGGGGCUCGGAUGCGGGCAGAAAGAUCCUUCUGGGUUCAUGGAAACUACGGAAACGGGGCUUUAAGAUCUUUUUGCAACUGAACGUCUAGGCCGAGGUCUGGAGAAGCUGGUGGCAGGGAACCCAGGAGAAUGCCUUUGACGAUGACCAAAGGCUGGGACGGGUGGGAAGGAAGUGAGAAGAACGCCGCAAACCCAGCGGGCGAAAGCUUAUCUAUUCUCGUGACUCUGCUCACUGGCUCGCCUAGGACACCGCCACAGAGAUUUUUGGCAGGUAAGAAUGUUAGAUUUAUGAUGGCGAAGUCCCAGCUCUUUGAAUUAUUUGAAGGAAUCCCAGCC